UUAAACUAAGAAAAGCAAAUAAUUAGAAAAGGGUAUUUUAGUAAAUAUUUUGGGUUGGGUUCAAGGUGGGUAAGCCAUUAUGCACCUUUGCCCCGAAUCUGCUAUUGGGUAUUUUAGAUACCCAUGAAUGGCCCUGACUCUAAAUGGGUCAAGAAAACCUGCCCCGUCAGGAUCAGGUUUCCAACGGGAUGGUGUAAAUUACCUCCCCUAAUCUGUUGAGUAUUAAGCCUCCAUAUUCUGGAAAUUUGUGUCUGUUAAUUUAGACAUCUUUGU
rnacentral:lncRNA from 1 species